rnacentral:rRNA from 1 species
AUCCUUCGGGAUUAGUGGCGGACGGGUGAGUAACACGUGGGAACGUGCCCUUUGGUUCGGAACAACUCAGGGAAACUUGAGCUAAUACCGGAUGUGCCCUUUGGGGGAAAGAUUUAUCGCCAUUGGAGCGGCCCGCGUCUGAUUAGCUAGUUGGUGAGGUAAAGGCUCACCAAGGCGACGAUCAGUAGCUGGUCUGAGAGGAUGAUCAGCCACAUUGGGACUGAGACACGGCCCAAACUCCUACGGGAGGCAGCAGUGGGGAAUCUUGCGCAAUGGGCGAAAGCCUGACGCAGCCAUGCCGCGUGAAUGAUGAAGGUCUUAGGAUUGUAAAAUUCUUUCACCGGGGACGAUAAUGACGGUACCCGGAGAAGAAGCCCCGGCUAACUUCGUGCCAGCAGCCGCGGUAAUACGAAGGGGGCUAGCGUUGCUCGGAAUUACUGGGCGUAAAGGGAGCGUAGGCGGACUGUUAAGUUAGAGGUGAAAGCCCAGGGCUCAACCUUGGAAUUGCCUUUGAUACUGGCAGUCUUGAGUACGGAAGAGGUAUGUGGAACUCCGAGUGUAGAGGUGAAAUUCGUAGAUAUUCGGAAGAACACCAGUGGCGAAGGCGACAUACUGGUCCGUUACUGACGCUGAGGCUCGAAAGCGUGGGGAGCAAACAGGAUUAGAUACCCUGGUAGUCCACGCCGUAAACGAUGAGUGCUAGUUGUCGGCAUGCAUGCAUGCCGGUGACGCAGCUAACGCAUUAAGCACUCCGCCUGGGGAGUACGGUCGCAAGAUUAAACUCAAAGGAAUGACGGA